GUUGAGAUGAUCGCAAAAGACGCUAUGGUAUAUGCUCAGCAAGGCAAAAGAAAGACAUUGCAAAGAAAAGACCUGGACAACGCAAUCGAGGCCAUAGACGAAUUUGCAUUUUUAGAAGGCACGUUAGAUUAAAUGGUUCCUCAGGAGAUGGAAGCACCAAAUUGAAACCAUCCAAUAAACUGUUUUUAUUUUUAUGGAUGUGAUACAAUGUGAAAACCUCUGUGCUACUUUUUUUUUUCCAGAAUUUGAAUAUUUAUGUCUGGUUUUCCACAAAGUAUCUUUGAUGGAGGGAUGUCAUUCUUUACAUUUGAAACGUGUGGCCAUUACAAGUGUACAUUAAUUUGUAAAUAUUGGUGAAAUGUUGCUUUUCUGUGAAAUAAAUGUGACUUCCAGACUA